rnacentral:rRNA from 1 species
GGGGUUAAUUUAAUAAAAUUAAAAAUAAGAAAAAAAAUUUUAAUAUAAUAUAUUUAAUGGGGGUUAAAGUAUUUUUAUAGAAAAAAUUUUAAAAUUUAUAGUGGAAUAGUAUUGUAAAAGAAAAAUUUAAAAUGUUGAAAUAGAAAUUUAUUUAAAAGUAAAUUUAAUUUAUUGUAUCUUGUGUAUCAGAGUUUUUUAAAUAAAUAAAUUUGGGGGAAUUUAUUUCGAAAUUAAAAGAGUUAAUUAAUUAAGAAAGUUAAUAUUGCAUAAUUAUUUUUAAUAAUUAAUUGGAAAUGAAAAGUUAAUCGUUUUUAAUGAUAUCUAAUUUUUUUAGAAAAAAGUUUAAUUUUAAAUAAUUUUUUUUAAAAACUAAUUAAUUAGUUUUUAAAAAAUUUAAUUUUAUAUUUUAGGGGAUAAGCUUUAAAUUAAAAUUUUAUAAUAAAAAUAAUAAAAUUGAAAUUUUUAAAAUUUAUAUUUUUUAAAAAUUAUAGUUUAUUAUAAAUAAUUUCAUUUAAUUAAAAUUUUAUUUUAAUUUAAAUUUUUAUAAAAAAAUAUUUUUUAAUAAAAUAAAAAUAGGUAUAAUGAUAAAAUUAGUAUAUAAUUUAAUAAUUGAUAUAAAAAUUAUUUAAAUUAAUAAAAAGGAAUUCGGCAAAAAUUUAUAUUCACUUGUUUAUCAAAAACAUGUCUUUUUGAUAAUAAUUUAAAGUCUAAUCUGCCCACUGAAUUAUUUUAAAGGGCUGCAGUAUAUUGACUGUACAAAGGUAGCAUAAUCAUUAGUCUUUUAAUUGAAGACUUGUAUGAAUGAUUUGAUGAAAUAUAAACUGUCUCUUUAUUAAUAAUAGAAAUUAAUUUUUUAGUUAAAAAGCUAAAAUUUAUUUAAAAGACGAGAAGACCCUAUAGAGUUUUAUAUUUAAAUUUAUAUUAAUUCUUUAUAAAAUUUAUAUUUAAUAUUUUUUUAAUUAUUUUAUUGGGGUGAUAGAAAAAUUUAUUAAACUUUUUUUAAAAUUUUUACAUUAAUAUAUGAAAUUUUGAUCCAUAAUUUAUGAUUAAAAGAUUAAAUUACCUUAGGGAUAACAGCGUAAUUUUUUUUUUUAGUUCUUAUAAGAAAAAAAGUUUGCGACCUCGAUGUUGGAUUAAGAUAAAAUUUAAAUGCAAAAGUUUAAAAUUUUGAUCUGUUCGAUCAUUAAAAUCUUACAUGAUCUGAGUUCAAACCGGUGUGAGCCAGGUUGGUUUCUAUCUUUAUAUAAAUUUAAUGAUUUAGUACGAAAGGAUCAAUUAUUAGAAAUAAUUUUUUAAUAGGGAAUGUUAUUAAUUUGA